AGUGAACGCUGGCGGUAGGCCUAACACAUGCAAGUCGAACGGCAGCAGGGUGAAGGCUGGCUCUUACGGGAGGAGAGUGGGGGGGGGGUGAGGUAUCCGUGGGAAUGUCCGUUUUAGGGGGGGAACAAGUGGGAACGGUAGCGCAAAUCGCGCAACCGACCUACGGGAGAAAGCAGGGGAUCUUCGGACCUUGCCAGCGUGAAUGCGCAGAUGUGGGAUUAGCUAGUUGGCGGGGUAAAGGCACACCGAGGCGACGAUCCGUAGCUGGUCUGAGAGGAUGACCAGCCACACUGGAACUGAGACACGGUCCAGACUCCUACGGGAGGCAGCAGUGGGGAAUAUUGGACAAUGGGCGCAAGCCUGAUCCAGCCAUACCGCGUGUGUGAAGAAGGCCUUCGGGUUGUAAAGCCCUUUUGUCGGGAAAGAAGAGCAUCAGGUUAAUACCCCUCUGUUCUGACGUUACCCAAAGAAUAAGCACCGGCUAACUCCGUG
rnacentral:rRNA from 1 species